UGGGGAAUCUUGCGCAAUGGGGGCAACCCUGACGCAGCGACGCCGCGUGCGGGACGAAGGCCUUCGGGUCGUAAACCGCUUUCAGCAGGGACGAGGCCGCGAGGUGACGGUACCUGCAGAAGAAGCCCCGGCUAACUACGUGCCAGCAGCCGCGGUAAUACGUAGGGGGCGAGCGUUAUCCGGAUUCAUUGGGCGUAAAGCGCUCGUAGGCUGCCCGCUAGGUCCGGGGUCAAAUCCGGGGGCUCAACCCCCGCACGCCCCGGAUACCGGCGGGCUUGAGUCGGGUAGGGGAAGGCGGAAUUCCAGGUGUAGCGGUGGAAUGCGCAGAUAUCUGGAAGAACACCGGUGGCGAAGGCGGCCUUCUGGGCCUCGACUGACGCUGAGGAGCGAAAGCUGGGGGAGCGAACAGG
rnacentral:rRNA from 4 species